AGUGAACGCUGGCGGCGUGCCUAAUACAUGCAAGUCGAACGGAGUGGCGCGCGGGCGAGUAAUGUAUAGCUAAUCUGCCCUACACUAGAGGACAACAGUUGGAAACGGCUGCUAAUACUCUAUAGUGUAGGAUGAGGCUAUAUUGUAUCAGCUAGUUGGUGAGGUAAUGGCUCACCAAGGCUAUGACGCAUAACUGGUCUGAGAGGAUGAUCAGUCACACGGGAACUGAUACACGGUCCAGACUCCUACGGGAGGGAGCAGUAGGGAAUAGUGCCCAAUGGGGGAAACGCUGAAGCAGCAACGCCGCGUGGAGUAUGACACUUUUCGGAGCGUAAACUCCUUUUGUUAGGGAAGCGGUACCUAACGAAUAAGCACCGGCUAACUCCGUGCCAGCAGCCGCGGUAAUAC
rnacentral:rRNA from 1 species